rnacentral:rRNA from 1 species
CCGUAGCAAUACGGAGCGGCAGACGGGAGAGUAACACGUGGGAACGUACCCUUCGGUUCGGAACAACCCAGGGAAACUUGGGCUAAUACCGGAUACGUCCGUAAGGAGAAAGAUUCAUCGCCGAAGGAUCGGCCCGCGUCUGAUUAGCUAGUUGGUGGGGUAACGGCUCACCAAGGCGACGAUCAGUAGCUGGUCUGAGAGGAUGAUCAGCCUCACUGGGACUGAGACACGGCCCAG